GGCAGUGCUAAACCGCUGUGCCACCCAGGCUGCCUAUGACCUUCCUUCUUAUGUAUUAUGAUGUCAGGUGGAAUAUUCUCUUUCCUCUUUUUUAAGUAAUCUCUACACUCAAUGUGGGGCUGGAACUCAUGACUGCAAGAUCAAGAAUCACGUGCUGAACCGACUAGGCCUGAGGGGGGCCUCAAGAAUAUUCUCUAGAGAUUUGUGAAAGGGUAAAUGAAUCAAACUGGAGCUUCUAUGUGCAUCUUUCGUUUGUUCAUGCUAAAAUACACACAGUUGCUUUCUUUAAUUUGUGCUUCUCUGCUGCUCUGUAUUCAGCUUUCCUGCAUGUUCUCUAGACAAAUCUAAAUUGGAAGAAGCUUUGAAAGCAUCUAAAUCCAUAGUCCUUGGGGAGAGAAAGAAGAGGAACAGAACAGCCUUGCUAUCCUGGGACAUAUCUGCUGGAGAUUUCCACAGAUCAUACUUCUCUGGGCUUUCGUUGCUCUAUCUUCUACCUUUGUAUGGUCUUCUCUUGCAUAUAUUUAUGCAUAGGCCUUCCUGCAGCUUUGCUUCUGCAUUUAGUACUUCCAGGAGUUUCUCAAAAUCAGGAUGAUACACAUCUGUUGAAUUGCAACAUUGUGAGAGGAUGGUGAAGAAACUAAGAUCUGAGAGAUUGGUGUGCUUAUUGCUACUGUGGUACUGUUGCUACUCUAGACCGUUUUAGAGGAUGAGGAGAGACGAGGCCUUUCAUUCAUUGCUGGUGGGAAUGCAAAAUGAUAAACAUUCCCUGGAAUACAGUUGGUGGCAGUUUCUUAUACAACUAAACAUACUGUUACCAGAUGAUCCAGCACUACUCUCACUGGUAUUUAUCCAAAGAAGAUGGAAAUUUAUAUCCAAGAGCAAGUCUGCACACAGAUAUUUAUAGCAACUUUAUUUAUAAUUGCUAAAACUUGGAAGAAACCUAGAUGUUCUUCAGUAGGUGAAUGGACAAGUAAACUGUGUUACGUACAAUGGAAUAUUAUUCA